rnacentral:misc_RNA from 1 species
UGAUCGUGAUCGUGAUCAUGAUCGCAAACCGUCUCGCACCGAUUCUCACCCUCGUCCUCGUGGUUCUGCUGUCGUCCAUCCAUCACGGUGAGGCAAUAAUAUGCUACCAAUGCAACAGCGAAUACGACCCAAGAUGUGGAGAUCCUUUCGAUCCGUUCAGUCUUGGAACCGUGAACUGCAGCUUCCAGCCACCUUUGGAACAUCUGAGCCGCUUGCAACCCACUUUGUGUCGGAAAAUCAGUCAGAAAGUGUACGGCAAGAUCAGGGUUGUCAGAGGUUGCGGAUACAUUACGGACGAGAGAGACAAUGCCCAAUGCUUGAAAAGAUCAGGCACCCACGACGUUCAAGCACUCUACUGUUCCUGCACCGGUGAUCUAUGCAACUCGGCUGAAAGCCGCACGCCGUCCUUCUUACUGCCGUUAACGUCCCUGUUGACGGUCGUUUUGGCAAUGCCGAGUGUGCUUCUUUCGUACCCGAUCGCAGUAUCCAUCUUUACCUCGCCACACUUCUCCAUAGCCUAAACUCUUCAGCAACCAGCGAAGAACACAUAACGCCUAAACCGAACCAACGAUUUAAUAGAGAUCGUUCGAACCUGGCCCAACUCGUUCCUUUUCGAUUUCCGCCUUAUUUUAAACGUACAGAUCAAACGGCGACCUUCGACCUCGCGAUGAACAUUAAUCUUUUUUCAUUCUGAAUCUUUCUUACUUUUGUUUAAAUGAAUUCUUUAACGAAAGAAAUUCCAAAUUAUUGUAACACGUGAAUCGGCGGGAAACGAGAUUGUUAACGAGUUGAUUGAAAUUACGGCUAUUGUCACUUGUUAUUUUUAAAACGAGACGCUUGAUCAAAAGGGUAAGAAAACACAAAGAUAUACCGUUUUGGGAUUCGAACGUUUCGCAAAAAUAGUCAAAUUACAAAACAGUAGUUCUAACGGUGAUACAAACUGCCAGAUACGCGAGAGCGUACUUCAGUAGUACACUUCAAGAAGAAUUAAUAAUGAGAACACACACACACACACGGCCUCCGCGCGUGAAACCAUCCAGCGUUUCUCGCAUAAGCGUAGAAAGUAAAAAAUAAUUACGUGGAGGAGAAACUAACCUCGAGGAUGCAUAUAAUAUAUUAUAGAUAUAUGAAGUAGCGGUAUUGCGAUGUGUUCGCACUUUGUACGCUGCUGCAAAACAAAUGAUAUACAGGGUGUUUCCAAUUUGAUGGUUCAACCAAAACGGCUGCGCAUCUAUGGGGAAAAAUAAGUUGAAAAUGUAGAGUGACAUCUUUUCGUACGAGGCUUCGUUUACGAAUAAAUCGAUGUUGAAAAAUCUUUAUAUUUUCGAUUUGCUUUUUCACGCAGAUUUAGACUGAUUUUGGUUGAACUACCAAACCGGGAGAGCCUUGUAUAUAUAUACACAUGUAUAUAUCUAUACAGAUAUAGACAUAUAUCUAAACAGAUAUAGAUAUAUAUCUAUAUGUAUAUUAUAUUUACAGAUAUAUAUAUUAUAUUUUAUUGGAAGGAAGCAGAAAUGGAAUUGCACGCAAGAGGGAUACUACAGCUUAUUUUUUAGAGAAGUAACGUCGGGUUGCUUUCGUGGAUGCCUGGUGUUGUACAGAAUUUUAAUGCUGACGCGGGAAUUAAAGAAGAAUAUAUGAAACACAUAUCAUCGAUACGUAAUAUAUUUUACCCCUCGUUUCGAUGAAAAUGAAUAAGUAUCCGGCAUUACGAUUGCGACUCGUGUUCCGCUGAUUUUUGCAAUAAAAUGCUGUAUAAGCGGUAGCGGAGGCUCGCGAAUGGAAUACAAUUGACUCGUGCAUGUGUGUGUGUAUGUAUGAUACGAGUGCGUAUGCACACGAUUGCGUGGUUGUUGCGUGUACGAGUGUGAAAGAGAAACAAGAAACGCUAAAUUAUACAGAUAGUUCGAUUAAGAAACGAAAUGUUGCUAUUAAGAUGAAACUUGUUAAAAGUUUUCAGUCGUGGAUCGUACACUUGAGGAUUUUUGUUCAUCAGGAUCUUAUAAGAAUACGGUUCACGCUUGGGAACUUUUGGUAAGUAUCAUCUUAACAAUCCUGGCCGUAAAGCCUCAAGAAUCUUAUGUUGCUACUUGUUGAACCGUAGCCAACUAAAGAAAACAGUAAAAACACGAAUUACAAAAAAUAACAAAAAAAAGAGUCGUAAAUGAAAUCGUAACGAUGUAGAAUCGUUGAUGGAGAAACGUAGAGGGUAAAGUAGAACGCUUACUAACAAGACAAAAAAAAAUAAGGCGAAUACAUGUCUCACCGCAGUACCUAAUUUAAUUGCUGCUGCCGCUGUUGUCACCGUGUCAUGUCAUCACCAUCGUUACAACAUCAUUGCAGCUGCUACUGUCAUAAUUGUCAGUUAUAGGCUGAUAUAGGUUGCGUGUUUUUUCGAAAGAGUUGAAGUUGACACCAAAGGAUAGAGAUAAUUCAGUGGUGAUUCUCCUGUACCCACACAUCACAAAUGGUGGGGAGAAAGAGGCUGUGGAAAGGGUAAGGGCACCGCACGCAUGCGUGUCCCCCCACCUACUCGCGUAUUAGGCCACGCCUAUUCAAUCAUGGCGCCCCUCUAAAAGCGCGUCGGUUUCCUGUUCAAACUGUUUUCGCGCACAGAACGCAUGUGUGUACAAUGUGUACAGUAAGCACAUGUGAUUAGAGAAAUGUUCAGGAGGCUGCCAUAAGCCUCCUUUAAAAGAUGUAGUCAAAUCUUCAUAUAUUGAUAACGACGAAUGAUAGAGAGGAUGCUUAGGAGAGACAACUUUGGAUAUGCCUGUAUUAAACAGAGAGGAAACGACCACGAUUAUUACUCUCUCUCAUGUGUGUCAACUUUAACCCUCUCACGGAACGCACAAUCUAUAUGUAAGUCCUGCUAUCAGAAGUACGAUUACUCAGAUGUUACUACAACUAAUGUUACUGAAUCAACAUAAUUAUUAUUGUCAUCAUUGUUAAUAUUUUUAUUGUUAUUAUUAUUUGAUCGUGAUAAAAUGCAUGAUGGAACGAUGGUAAACGUUUUGACAUCGUAUGGAGUGGAAGAGUAAUGGAUCAAGAUGAUUAAUAUCAACAUAAACUUGAGAUAAUUUGGCCAUCUAAAAUCCAUUUCUGUUUUAACUGCGGGGGAGCACGCGAAGUUUGUAAUCUCUGAAAUUACUGAUUCGCAUCCUUUCGGUACACGUUCUGUUAAAAGUUCUAUGUGUCGCAAUUUUUACCGUAUAUAAUUCUUAUAAUUAGGGAUGUGCGUGUAAUUUGAUUCAUCGGUUUGAAAUCUGAGAGCUUAAUACUUUCGGACUUCCGAUCUUGUCCGACAUUUUCCGAUUCAAUCCGAACCCAUUAUUCCGAUUACCCGCACAUUUCUACUAACUUCAAAUAUGCCUAUAUUGAAUUUCUUUCUUCACUCCAUCCAACGUAGCAGCAGGAAUUUCCGUUGAAACCAAAAAGUGAGAAACAAAUAAAUCGAAUAAGGAACGAAAAUAAUAGAGACGACAAAUAUUUCGUUACAUUCCACUCAAUUAAUUUAGUUAGUUGGUCGCUUUAGAUUUCGAGAAAUUAAUAUUUGAAAAUAGCGAUGUUUUACUUCUUUAUUUUUGCUUAAAACACGAACAUAUAACUGUGUGUAUAGUUAUUCGUCUGUAAGGUAACUUUUAAAACAUCCGAUUCAAAAAAUAGAAUUAUUGUCUCGAGUUAUGCUAUAUUUUUUAUUUGCAUGAUGUACAUAAAAUUAGUUCAAAACGAUGACGAGAUCAGAGCUGUCCCUAGAGUUUGUGGACUCUUGAGCUAAAAUCGAUGUUACAGAGAAAUAAUGAUAUAAUGUUUUUAAUAAAACUGUAAAGUAUCUAACAAAAAUAAUUUCCGUUAUAUGUAUAAUACAUAACAAAGUAUUUUAUAUAAUAUAUUAACAUCUAAUAUAAGAAUAUAGUUUGAAACGACUUUAAAACACGAAAAAUUAUGGUCAUAUAUUUUUAAAAGUAUCUUCGAAAAUUUAAAUCGGCUCGAUGUGCAAUACUAGGAACGGCUCUGAACGAAAUAUACACAUGUAUCUACUUACGUCUAUAGCAUGGAUGUUUCAAGUUAAAGUCGGGUUAAGUAAAGUCGAAUAGAUUGAAAUUCGACUAUUUCGAAUGAAAUAUGAGAAAAUCGAAUGGGUUGUAACGAAUUCUCGCAAUGUUCAAUUCGAUAUUCAAAAAUAACGAUAUCCAGUUGUCUUCCAAAUUCGAAAAUUUGUAAAUUUGAUUCUCAACAUUUGUUUUGAUUCGAUUCGAGAUUCGAGCCAACCUCAUUUUCUCGGGCUUUCUUCGAUUUAACUCGACGCAUUGGAUUAUCGACAGAUCCUUGAUCUAUAGAAACUAUGACGCCUGAAGAAUAAAGAAAAACAAUACCGAUACAUUUUCGAUCUCUUCUUCCUUCUAACGUGCAACUUGGUUAAAGAAUGUUGCGCCCCCAAGACGAAGUGGAAUGUAACGAAACUACUUCUGCGUGUACCCGUUUCAAAUUUGUAAGAAGUGAAAUCCGCUUCGUACAUAUCAUUCGUCCAUAAUCAUCCGUCACAUUUUAAUUGAAUAAAACUACUGGCAUCACUGCCCUCCCUGUUCAAGCAUAUCGAGAAAAGAACAAAGAAUGUCAUCGACAUAUAAUUGCAUUUAAUUGACAAUUUAUCCCAGGUAUCAAGAGAUUACUUCAAAUUUGUUCUGUUUUAUUAUAUUUAUUGUCAUCUAAUGUUAAUAUUGCAUUGUACACAUCGAUCACUAUGUACAGAGAAUAUUCUGCCAAUAAAGUGUUGAAUGGUUACAAAAAAUCAAACAGAAAAAAAAUCAAAAUGGAACUCCAUAUACAUUAGGGACUCUCAAUUAUUUUUUAUGAAAUUCUGAUAAUAUUGAUUUGUCGUCGUCUAGAUAGUAAUUUAAAUAAAAUAAUGUCAAAAGAAAAAGAUUUCAAUUUAGAUUGAUCCUAUAGAUAUUAUAAUUAUACAGGUAAAGUACAUUGUUCCCUCAAUGUUAUAUCAAAGCUAUACUACAAUUUAGUUUGUUAUUUAAUGAUUUUGAUGUUAGUGAACAUAAAUAAAUGCUGUUUUUUUUUAGAUAUAUCAGUGAUUCAUAUAACCUUCAUCUAUAAUUAAUUCAGUACAACGGAAAUGAUUAUGCGCGUGAUGCGUUCAUUAGUAAUGUGUUCCAGGAUGUACACAAUAAUAUAAAAUAAUGCGUUCAUGAUAAAUGAUACUUAAUAAUGAUUGCAAAAUAACAAAGGUAAGAAAUGGAUUUAUAAAUGCCACAAAUACUAUG